rnacentral:rRNA from 1 species
AGAGUUUGAUCAUGGCUCAGGAUGAACGCUAGCGGCAGGCCUAACACAUGCAAGUCGAGGGGUAACAGGGUUUUCGGACCGCUGACGACCGGCGCACGGGUGCGUAACGCGUAUGCAACCUACCUUUAACAGGAAGAUAGCCCCGAGAAAUCGGGAUUAAUACUCCAUAAUAUUUAUGAGUGGCAUCACUUAUAACUUAAAGCUUUGGCGGUUAAAGAUGGGCAUGCGUGACAUUAGUUUGUUGGUAAGGUAACGGCUUACCAAGACUACGAUGUCUAGGGGUUCUGAGAGGAUUAACCCCCACACUGGUACUGAGACACGGACCAGACUCCUACGGGAGGCAGCAGUGAGGAGUAUUGGGCAAUGGACGCAAGUCUGACCCAGCCAUGCCGCGUGAAGGAUGAAGGCCUUAUGGGUUGUAAACUUCUUUUAUACGGGAAUAAACUUAGCUAUGUAUAGUUAACUGCAGGUACCGUACGAAUAAGCACCGGCUAACUCCGUGCCAGCAGCCGCGGUAAUACGGAGGGUGCAAGCGUUAUCCGGAUUUAUUGGGUUUAAAGGGUCCGCAGGCGGACUAGUAAGUCAGUGGUGAAAUCUCUCGGCUCAA